rnacentral:rRNA from 1 species
UACGUAGGGUGCGAGCGUUGUCCGGAAUUAUUGGGCGUAAAGAGCUCGUAGGCGGUCUGUCACGUCGGCUGUGAAAUCCCGAGGCUCAACCUCGGGUCUGCAGUCGAUACGGGCAAACUAGAGUAUUGCAGGGGAGACUGGAAUUCCUGGUGUAGCGGUGAAAUGCGUAGAUAUCGGAAGGAACAUCAGUGGCGAAAGCGGCUUCCUGGACCAGCACCGACGUUCAGGCACGAAAGCGUGGGGAGCAAACAGG